rnacentral:rRNA from 1 species
UCCGGUUGAUCCCGCCGGAGGUUACUGCUAUCGAGGUUCGACUAAGCCAUGCGAGUCGAAUGUAGCAAUACAUGGCGAACUGCUCAGUAACACGUGGACAACCUGCCCUUAGGACUGGGAUAACCCCGGGAAACUGGGAAUAAUCCCCGAUAGUCCUCGAAGGCUGGAAUGCAUCGAGGGCGAAAGCUCCGGCGCCUAAGGAUGGGUCUGCGGCCUAUCAGGUAGUAGUGGGUGUAGCGUACCUACUAGCCUACGACGGGUACGGGUUGUGAGAGCAAGAGCCCGGAGAUGGAUUCUGAGACACGAAUCCAGGCCCUACGGGGUGCAGCAGGCGCGAAAACUUUACAAUGCUGGCAACAGCGAUAAGGGAACCUCGAGUGCCAGGUUACAAAUCUGGCUGUCGAGAUGCCUAAAAAGCAUUUCAUAGCAAGGGCCGGGCAAGACCGGUGCCAGCCGCCGCGGUAACACCGGCGGCUCGAGUGGUAACCGUUAUUAUUGGGUCUAAAGGGUCUGUAGCCGGCCGGAUAAGUCUCUUGGGAAAUCUGGCAGCUCAACUGUCAGGCUAUCANGAGAUACUGUCUGGCUCGAGGCCGGGAGAGGUGAGAGGUACUUCAGGGGUAGGGGUGAAAUCUUGUAAUCCCUUGAAAGGACCACCAGUGGCGAAGGCGUCUCACCUAAACGGACCUGGACGG